UGUAAGACUGGGAUAACUCCGGGAAACCGGAGCUAAUACCGGAUAGUUCCUUGAACCGCAUGGUUCAAGGAUGAAAGACGGUUUCGGCUGUCACUUACAGAUGGACCCGCGGCGCAUUAGCUAGUUGGUGAGGUAACGGCUCACCAAGGCGACGAUGCGUAGCCGACCUGAGAGGGUGAUCGGCCACACUGGGACUGAGACACGGCCCAGACUCCUACGGGAGGCAGCAGUAGGGAAUCUUCCGCAAUGGACGAAAGUCUGACGGAGCAACGCCGCGUGAGUGAUGAAGGUUUUCGGAUCGUAAAGCUCUGUUGUUAGGGAAGAACAAGUGCAAGAGUAACUGCUUGCACCUUGACGGUACCUAACCAGAAAGCCACGGCUAACUACGUGCCAGCAGCCGCGGUAAUACGUAGGUGGCAAGCGUUGUCCGGAAUUAUUGGGCGUAAAGGGCUCGCAGGCGGUUUCUUAAGUCUGAUGUGAAAGCCCCCGGCUCAACCGGGGAGGGUCAUUGGAAACUGGGAAACUUGAGUGCAGAAGAGGAGAGUGGAAUUCCACGUGUAGCGGUGAAAUGCGUAGAGAUGUGGAGGAACACCAGUGGCGAAGGCGACUCUCUGGUCUGUAACUGACGCUGAGGAGCGAAAGCGUGGGGAGCGAACAGGAUUAGAUACCCUGGUAGUCCACGCCGUAAACGAUGAGUGCUAAGUGUUAGGGGGUUUCCGCCCCUUAGUGCUGCAGCUAACGCAUUAAGCACUCCGCCUGGGGAGUACGGUCGCAAGACUGAAACUCAAAGGAAUUGACGGGGGCCCGCACAAGCGGUGGAG
rnacentral:rRNA from 1 species